rnacentral:rRNA from 1 species
AUUGAACGCUGGCGGCAGGCCUAACACAUGCAAGUCGAGCGGAUGAAGGGAGCUUGCUCCUGGAUUCAGCGGCGGACGGGCGAGUAAUGCCUAGGAACCUGCCUGGUAGUGGGGGAUAACGUCCGGAAACGGGCGCUAAUACCGCAUACGUCCUGAGGGCGAACGUGGGGGAUCUUCGGACCUCACGCUAUCAGAUGAGUCUAGGUCGGAUUAGCUAGUUGGUGGGGUAAAGGCCUACCAAGGCGACGAUCCGUAACUGGUCUGAGAGGAUGAUCAGUCACACUGGAACUGAGACACGGUCCAGACUCCUACGGGAGGCAGCAGUGGGGAAUAUUGGACAAUGGGCGAAAGCCUGAUCCAGCCAUGCCGCGUGUGUGAAGAAGGUCUUCGGAUUGUAAAGCACUUUAAGUUGGGAGGAAGGGCAGUAAGUUAAUACCUUGCUGUUUUGACGUUACCAACAGAAUAAGCACCGGCUAACUUCGUG